UUUUUGCAUAGGUUAAUGUCAUUAGAAAGUACUAUCAGUAUUAUACAUUGGUUAGGUAAAGCAUAUCACUUGUCUUAAUGAUGCUAUUUGUUUUAAUCUAGUUUAUUCAUAACUUUAAAUUGUAGUGUGACUUUGACAAUUACAGUGGAGAUACAUUAUUCAUGUUGCUUGUAGGUCAUUGGUCUCUUCAGCCUGGCUACACAUUGAGAAUUAGCAGAGGAGCUUUUUAAAAAGUACCAGUGCUUAGUCCCCAACCUGGAUUGUUUGGCCUAUUCCUCCUUCAGUUUUUUGUGGUUCGAUAAUUAUCUUUUAAGUUGACAAUAAACAGCUAAAUUUAGAGGGGGGAUUGCUUUUUCAUUGUUCUAGUUUCCAAAUAUUUACUUUUGAGAUGCAGCGUAUUAAAAUUUUCAAAGACUGGUUUAACCAUUCUCAUUAGUAAAUACAAUGUAUUUUCAGUGUAUCCAUAGAUAAUAAAAGUUGGAUAGGUAAGAAUUGGAAGGGUGUUAAGUGAUGUCAUUUAGUCUACCACCUUUCUACAGUAUAAUUCUGUGGCUCUACAAGGUGGCCUUCAGUUUGUUUAAAUACCUAUAAAGGAUGUUUCUACUUUUAAGUAGGCAUUACAAAUUUUUGUAUAUUGCUUGGCAGUAUGCCUCUUUGUAAACUACCAAUCUGUUAUAGUCUCUUGAAGACUUGGUUCCAAUAUUUCUCAGUCUUUGUAACACAUAAAUGAAACUAACCAUGUUUGGACUUUGUAAUUUUUGUUGUUGUUGAGUUAUAUGUCAAUUACAUAAUCAUGCUAAAGGAAAAUAGCUCCUCUAACAAACCAUAAUAAUAAACUUCUAAUGACCAAAGACCAGGAUUUUCUAAAGCUGAAAAUAAUUCUCGUAUAAAUCAGAAAAAUUGGACAAUAGAAACUUAAAGCAGAGAUUGAGUUAGUUUGUGUGUUGAUAAUGAAAAUUAUUUUUGAGUUUUCUCUGAAUAGAUGAAGACUUCUUUUUUAAAGAGAUUUUCAAAUGCCACCUCCUCAAACUUUAUUGGCAAAGAAAGUUUACCUGAUUGGGGAGGAAGAAAUUCUAGCAGGCCUUAAUUUAAUGUGCUUGUUGCAACAGAAGGUACUAAUGUAUACUUUGAGACUUUGUUUACUGCUGAUUGAUGGAGAUAUAUUUUUUAAAUUUAUGAUACAAAGUAAUCUCUACCAGGUAGUUGUAAAUUACGUGUGCACCGUUGAUUUGUGAGGUAGAACCAAUUCUGAACAAAAUAAAGGUAUCUGGUUUUAGGUUAUAUACCCACAAAGUUAACUUUGAAAAUUGCAGGUAAUAAAUAGCAGGAUUAAG
rnacentral:lncRNA from 10 species